AUUGAACGCUGGCGGCAGGCCUAACACAUUCAAGUCGAGCGGAGCGGCGGACGGGGGCGUAAUGCCUAGGAAUCUGCCUGUUAGUGGGGAAUAACGUCCGGAAACGGGCGCUAAUCCCGCAUACUAUCAGAUAAGCCUAGGUAGGAUUAGCUAGUGGGUGGAGUAAAGGCCUACCAAGGCGACGAUCCGUAACUGUUAUUCACGUAGGAUCAGUCACACUGGAACUGAGACACGGUCAAGACGCCUACGGGAGGCAGCAGGGGGGAAUAUUGGACAAUGGGCGAAAGCCUGAUCCAGCCAUGCCGCGUGUAUGAAGAAGGCCUUCGGGUGGUAAAGUACUUUCAGCGGGGAGGCGUUACCCGCAGAAGAAGCACCGGCUAACUCCGUGCCAGCAGCCGCGGUAAUUC
rnacentral:rRNA from 1 species